AACAACUUGUAUUAUGGCAGUAAUGCCGAAAUCGUCAAAAAAUUUGGCUGUCCUACAAACAGCCAAUCUUUUUUCGCGAUUUCAACAUUGGUCAAUUCACUACGCAGAGUAGGGCUAGUGAAGAAAAUGUCAUUCUGUAUAUUGUAUUAAUUUUUACGUGAAAACAAGCCAUUUGCUCUCUGAUAGACAAAUACUAAAUUGGAAACCUGUUUGGAAACGUGAUUUCUUGGUAAUACCAGGAGGCCUACCGCGAACCAUGUUCGACGUGUUGCCUCUCUGUCGCACUUGUAGAUUCGUACGUUAGCGUGAUGGGAGGUAACACGUCGAACGUGGUUCGCGGUAGGCCCUCAGAGACGUGAAACGGGACGGGUAUAAAAUUGAUUUGCCAAUUAAAUCAUUAACAGAAGCGGUCACAACCAUAUUUGUUAACUAUUAUCUUAUUUGACAUUUAGUUAUGUCAUGUAUAUAAUGGCUGCAGAUUGUACAUUGUAUAAUAUUAGCAUUAUUUUAUUUUUUGUGUAUCAAUAUUAUCGAGUAAUCUAAUAAAGGUUGUCUGGGCUCCUACCGGGAAAAUCGAAGUUCGUCAAUUGCGGGCAUUUUUCUCUGUCACUCUAAUUACGUCUUAGUAAGAGUAAAAGAGAAAGAUCCCCGCAAUUUGCGAAUUUCGGUUUUCGCGGUAAGCCCCCUGUUAUGUUGACUUAAAAUAGCUAGUAAAACUUAGGGAAUGCGGCGUCAAGACUCGGCACUAAAAAAGUUAAUAUCAAUGUGUCAUUUAAACACCGUUAUAUAUCAUAUAAGUGACUUAUAGUUAUAAAAUAUAAAAUGACACUCAAUAUUGACUUAGCAGAAAGAGACUGUAUGCAUAGAGAAAAAAAUAAGCUUAGAGUGCUCAAUCCAUAUAUCACUUUCCUUGAGUAAUAGAUAAUAAGGGCUCAUUUACACGGUGCGAGAACUCGCAUGCGAGUUUCAUUACAUUGCGGUAUUUGAUCGGUCGCCGAAUUAGUUGUAACCUCAAUAGUCCGCAAUGUAACUAAAAUCGCAUGCGAGUUUCAUUACAUUGCGGUAUUUGAUCGGUCGCCGAAUUAGUUGUAACCUCAAUAGUCUGCAAUGUAACUAAAAUCGCAUGCGAGUUUCAUUACAUUGCGGUAUUUGAUCGGUCGCCGAAUUAGUUGUAACCUCAAUAGUCCGCAAUGUAACUAAAAUCGCAUGCGAGUUCGCGUGCCGUCUAAAUCGGCCCUAAGUUGUAAAGAAGGUAUGAUAAAACGUAUUAUGAAUAAGUUUUAAACUGGUUUAAAUCUAAUACUUAUAUUUUAUUACAAAUAAGUUUUCGCAAAACUCGCUUAAAACUUAUUAUAAAUAAGUUUUAUCGGGUUAGUAUCACGGGGUCUAAUUAGCAACUCGUCUAUAGGGCUACUCGUCUAAGUCGCAGCUGGUCUACAUCACCUUCGUCUAAAUAUCAAUUGGUCUAAAAAGCAGCUGGUCUACAAUUUUCUAAGUAGCAUCUCGUCUAAAUAGCAAUUGGUCUAAAAAGCAGCUGGUCUACUCUUUCUAAGUAGCAAGCAUCUCGUCUGAGUUGCAAUAUUAUUAGUCUUUCUGAUCAACUUUUAUUAAAGGAGCAAACCUGCCAACCCUGAAAUCUCAUUAAAAAAAUUACCUGCUUCAUACAUUUCGUCCGAUCAGAAGUCGACAUCAUCUUUAUCGCCUUGAAAAUAAAGGUGUUGUUCCGAUAUUUGUCACCCACCUCCACAGCUCCGAAAUAUCUGAUGGCGACUGUACCAGGUGAUCAGGUAGGCCAUACUGAUCAACUUUUGUUAUGGCACUAAGCCUGAAAUCUGAAAAAAAUAUUGGACCCCCAAUACAAAAUGUCGACUUCUGAUCGGACGAAAUGUAUGAAGCAGGUAAUUUUUUUAAUGAGAUUUCAGGGUUGGCAGGUUUGCUCCUUCAAUAAAAUUUGAUCAGAAAGACUAAUAAUAUUGCAACUCAGACGAGAUGCUUGCUACUUAGAAAGAGUAGACCAGCUGCUUUUUAGACCAAUUGCUAUUUAGACGAGAUGCUACUUAGAAAAUUGUAGACCAGCUGCUUUUUAGACCAAUUGAUAUUUAGACGAAGGUGAUGUAGACCAGCUGCGACUUAGACGAGUAGCCCUAUAGACGAGUUGCUAAUUAGACCCCGUGAUACUAACCCGUUUUAUCUGUCUGUAGUGAGCACUCUAAGCCUACUUAUGUAUCUACGCCAUAACCAUUGUGAAAUGAGUAAUAUAAUGAAUAAGAUCUCAUGGAAAAUAUAUUGAGAAGUUAUUGAGACGAUAAAUAGCAUAUUUUGCGGUUGAGAUUGGCACUUUCAUUUGCUUUAUUAAAUUAUUUUCGUAUGCUAUUUAAUCACAUAAGGUACGUAACUGUGGGGAAGACCGUGUAGGUAUAAGGGAAGACCGGGUACAUGUUCUUUCGCUUUAAAUUCUUGCGUACACAUACUCCACUUACAGAAGGUCGGUAGAUAAUGAGUGGAGCUCUUUCUGACUGUGUUUGAGGGAAGUAUGUAAACAAACUUGCCCAAUGAUGGUCUUCCUGCAAUAAAUUGCACAUGCCGUCUUCUCCACAUUUACCUUGAUAUAAAAAAAAGGUUUUCUAGGAAAUUGUUAAAUCUGUUUUAUUUUAAAUUCGAUUGUCAGCUUAUCAAACGAAGGCGGGUCGGCAUGCCGCUUCGGUGUGUGAGUGAGACAGUGUUAUGCCUGUAUAUAGCAAAGUUUCGCUCGCACACCGGAGCGGAGCGCGUAAUAAAGUGAUUCUAUUGCGUAUUGAGUUAAAUGAUUGUCACAUAAUUUUAGUGUUAUUAAUAUUUCUUUAAACGAUGUUAAUAUUUUUUGGCUUAUAGCUAAUUGUUUACAGUUCCGAUAUUAUAAUUAUUUUUGUGUAAUAUUGUAAUUAUAUUAUUAUAGUACAUUAAAGGCGUGGUUGGUUCGCGUAUUGUUUUAAUAUUAAACGCUAAAAGCGUUUUCUUAUCACUUGCGUGGAAUAAUCACGUCUCCUCCCUAUAGCUGUAUAUGACGUUAGACAGGGCUAAAUAAUUCAAAUAAGUUGAAACACACCAAAAUCUGCUAUUAAUAUUAAUGAACCGAGUUCUAAAAUAUAGUAAACUAGGAUUUUAAAUUGACAUCUUUAUUCGAGUUAGGUAUUCUGUAUAUAUUUGAUAAUUUAUUUUAGAGCACUAAUAAUUUCUUCCGAAGCAUUAUCUAUUGACAAUUUACACACUCAAAUAAAAUAUGAAUUAAAACCUGCAAUAUGAGACACACAACUGUCAGGAUAGUACGGAGUGUUACGGCCAUCCAGACAAAAACCACGCCCCAACGUUAUUUUAGCCCUGUUUUUUAAAUGUGUAUAUUAGAUUAGGUUAAUUAAUCCACAAGUGCUCUGUUGGUGAUACCAAGACAUAGAUGGUAAUUAUGUAUCGUGAAAUUUAAUAAAUGUAGGGUGAGUUGACAGUCAUAGAGUAUUUAGCAAAGUAAUUAAUUAAUGUAGUAUCUCCGGGAAGAAAACGAUGAAUAUUAGACAGGCAAUCACUUUUACAUGGCUGUCUUAUAAGUUAUUAUGACAUAACUAUAGAUAUUAUUAGAUUUUAUAGUCAAUUUACCAUUUAUCUAUGCAUUCUCUGACUGUCAUUACAUCCUCGUAUGGUGGAUAGCAAUAACUUGUAAAGUAACACUGGUUCAAAGUGUCGAGGUAAAAUAAAUGUAUACAAAGUUGAAGUAAUUCAAGGUCACCACUUUUGUUUCAAUCGUAUACAUAUUUAUGAGCAACUCUGUCGCUCACAUAUUAUUGUCGAGUGCGCUUUUCCUCGUCCCACUAUUUCGUACGGAACAUGUAUUUUGCGAUAGAGGAAAGGUUAAUUUAAGCGUUAAAAAUAUUAGAUUUUGUUCGGGUUAUUUUCUAGGUGCAAUACCAUUGUGAUGAGUAGAUGGGACUGCUUCGCAUACAUCUUUCAACUAUACAGUAAAUGCUGGUAAUUUUGCACGCCUAAGUGAACGAUAUUUUUUUUUUUUUUCUGGCUGUUUAAAGUGUAAGUGACGUUGGAUGUACAUUCUGUAUCGGAGCAAAAAUUGGCAAUAAUUAAAUUCGAUAAAGUUGGUCUUAGAAAAUACAUUUUCUUUAUUUACUAAACGACAUAUUAAGGUGAAAAGAUGUAUAUUUUUUACUGUCAACAUGCUGUUUUUCUCUAUUGAUAACAACAUAAGAUCCUUAGAGCAAAGUUAAGCCAUUGCUAAAAUUGCAUCCGAUUUUACCUCCGAUCGAAAAGAAGUGUAUUUUUUGUUUGUGCAUUAGUUUUAAUUCAGAUUAUAGGGGUCGAAGACUGUAAAUGGCUUAUGUAUUGGUGAUAAUUAUAAAGUAACCACUUUGCAAAAGUUCCGUAGACAUCAAUAACACCCAGCACGAUUUGAUAUUAAACCUUUUCCAUGCCGCACCAAUCUACAAGGUUUUCCCAAAAAAUCCAAAUAUAUUGCAAUAAAUCCAGCUUUGAUGAUUCAUUUGAAGACAAGUAACAUUUCCUGAAAGUAUAAUCUAAUAUGAACCUUAAAUCGGAAUGCUAAAGUUGAAAUUCUAAUGGCGCGUAUGUGGUCGAUAAAUCGUACUAUGCCUGGAAAAGAGUUAAAUUCGGGCCCGAUGGCUAUGCAACGUUAAAUAAAAUCAUUUUUCAUCAUAUAAAUUACCUUUACUUCAGUCUAUUCGGCAACCAAAAAUGUCUCCCUUGUGUUACAUCAUAAAUCGCCUGUAAUAGACGAAAGGGAAGAUGAUAAAAAAUAAAUAAAUGUUGAUAUUAGAUUGAUUGUAAAAAAAAAUUAACAUAAAUUUUGACUAAAUUAAGAUAUGGGUAAUGUACAAUACGAUUUUAGUACAAACGUUGGGUAGCCAUAAAGUAAAAUGUGUAAAAAUAUGAGUUCAUAAACAAUACCAUACUUAUGCCAAUAAUACCGAUAAGCUUUGUGUUCACAUAUUAUCUAUUACAAUUUUACAUGUCAACAACUAUAGACCUAUCAUUUUAAAUUCGGCCAGUUUAGAUUGUUUUUAUUUCAGCUUUAGAUAAAAAAUGUAGUUUUCUUCCUUCCUAAUUCUAUACAAUAAUGUGCCCUACAAUCUAUUCUCCUGCGUUACGGAAAGUCCCUCAGUGGAAAAUCUUAAUCAUUUUCGGAACAAAAUCGUCAAUAUAAUAAGAAUCUAAAGCUACUAUGAGCUUUUGCCUCGCCGAAUAAUUUAAUUUGAUAUAUUUAACCGUUAACAGUCUAAUUAUCUACAUGGAAUAUCUUAAAAAAUUACUCAAUGGGAAUUCUAUUGCGUUUUUUUUUGUAUUUACCAGACUUUUGGCCUAAGGGCUAACAUCGAAGUUAGAAAUAUCUAUCUCUAUCUCUCUUUGGCUGGAGGGACAGAUAAAGAUAAGCUAAUUUCGAUUUUCGUUAUCCUUUGUGUCAUGUAAAAUGUGCUGUCUAUAGUCGCAAUAUGUGUAUAUUUGAAAUGUCAGACGAAUGUAUCCGGUUGUAUUAUAUCGAUUCAACUGAAAAUAUUUAAUUAAAAUAAAAUGUUUAUGCUUAAA